rnacentral:rRNA from 1 species
GAUGAACGCUGGCGGCGUGCCUAAUACAUGCAAGUCGAGCGAACAGAUAAGGAGCUUGCUCCUUUGACGUUAGCGGCGGACGGGUGAGUAACACGUGGGUAACCUACCUAUAAGACUGGGGUAACUUCGGGAAACCGGAGCUAAUACCGGAUAAUAUUUCGAACCGCAUGGUUCGAUAGUGAAAGAUGGUUUUGCUAUCACUUAUAGAUGGACCCGCGCCGUAUUAGCUAGUUGGUAAGGUAACGGCUUACCAAGGCGACGAUACGUAGCCGACCUGAGAGGGUGAUCGGCCACACUGGAACUGAGACACGGUCCAGACUCCUACGGGAGGCAGCAGUAGGGAAUCUUCCGCAAUGGGCGAAAGCCUGACGGAGCAACGCCGCGUGAGUGAUGAAGGUCUUCGGAUCGUAAAACUCUGUUAUUAGGGAAGAACAUACGUGUAAGUAACUGUGCACGUCUUGACGGUACCUAAUCAGAAAGCCACGGCUAACUACGUG